CGCUUUGACGGUGCAUAAUACUAAAAUUGUAACGAUACGGAGAAGAAUUAAAAGACCCCUUUGCCAAGAUGACACGCAAAAUCGUGAAGCAUUUCAAAUUUUU